UUAAGUUCAGCGGGUAGUCCUACCUGAUUUGAGGUCACAUUAAUGAAAAUUUGUCCAAGUCAAUGGACUGUUGGAAGCUGAACUGCUUCACGUCAAUAGCGUAGAUAGUUAUCACACCAAUGAACGGUCCACAAAUUGUUCCGCUAAUAUAUUUCAGGGGAGCUGACCUCAGAGAAGAAGCCAGCAAAAAAUGACCCCCA
rnacentral:misc_RNA from 1 species